GCCCGGUUAGCUCAAUCGGUAGAGCGUGAGACUCUUACCUCGUGAGGAAAUAGUCAUCUCAAGGUUGCGGGUUCGACCCCCGCAUCGGGCU